UACGUAGGGUGCGAGCGUUGUCCGGAAUUACUGGGCGUAAAGAGCUCGUAGGUGGUUUGUCGCGUUGUUCGUGAAAACUCACAGCUUAACUGUGGGCGUGCGGGGCGAUACGGGGCAGACUGGAGUACUGCAGGGGGAGACUGGAAUUCCUGGUGUAGCGGGUGGGAAUGCGCAGAUAUCAGGGAGGGAAACACCCGGUGGGC
rnacentral:rRNA from 1 species